rnacentral:lncRNA from 1 species
UUUUCUCUAAUUUUUUUCUUACUUUUUCUCUAAUUUUUUCUCCUCUUAUUUUUGUUGCCGUCUGCUUCCUCCAUUUUCUCUGCUCCCACUACCUCCAUUUUCUUUGCACCCACUGCCCUCUUUUUAUAGAGCACAGCUUCUUCGAAUUAUAAGCGUCUACAGACUUUCAAUUCCCACCGUCUUCUAUUUUGAUCAGGACUUUAAAACUUUAUCCGCAUCCU